rnacentral:rRNA from 1 species
AUUGAACGCUGGCGGCAUGCCUAACACAUGCAAGUCGAGCGGACGAAUGGAGCUUGCUCCUGGCUUCAGCUGCGGACGGGCGAGUAAUGCCCAGGAAUCUGCCUUGUCUUGGGGGAUGACGUCCGGAGACGGGCGCUGAUAUCACACACGAUCAGAGGUUGAAAGUGGGGGAUCUUAGGUGCUAACGCUUCUUGCUGAGCCUUGUACGGAUUAGCGAGUUGGUGGGGUAAAGGCCUACCAAGGCGACGAUCCGUAACUGGUCUGAGAGGAUGACCAGUCACACUGGAACUAAGACACGGUCCAGACUCCUACGGGAGGCAGCAGUGGGGAAUAUUCGGCAAUGGGCGAAAGCCUGAUCCAGCCAUGCCGCGUGUGUGAAGAAGGUCUUCGGAUUGUAAAGCACUUUUAGUUGGGAAGAAGGGCAGUAAGUUAAUACCUUGCUGUUUUGACGUUACCAACAGAAUAAGCACCGGCUAACUUCGUG